UUAGUGGAUGUUUACGACGAAAUCACAACUGUAGUUGCUGGGCUUACAAAUCUUUGCCCACCACUGUCAAAAAGAGGCGAGGCUGCACCCACUGGCAUGGCAGAUCAGUUGGAGCUGGAUGGCCUGUGUUAACCUGUGUCCAAAAGUCAACAGCAAAGCAAACUGCAGCACUGUGACUGCAGACCCGCCCCAACCUGGAAAAAUGCAAAAAAAGAGGUUUUUGUGUUUCUUGGCUGCUUAAGGUGUCUUGUGAGUUCAUUCGAAGAAUGGGAGCAGAUACUGGACUGACAGCGGUACCGAAGAAAAAAAACAGAUUCAGUAGCCUUGCUGCUGCAUGACAAAAGUGAGAAGCAGCGUGCACUGCCAGCAUGCGGAAUCAAGGAGGAAGAGAAGCGGAGAAUGACGAGAAAAGUGGACGUCACCUUCAACCAGGGAAGAGGCGGGUUCCAGAAAUCGGUUUAACGAAACUUUGAAAUCAGUUGGAAGAGGCGAACUAGCGAGGACGUGAGCUGGAAAAAAGCACCCCUAGCUUCCUACUCGUCUAACCUGCUCCUCUGGCCAAUACUCCCUACAACAACGGCCUUAUCCUGUGCUACGGGGUCAACUUCAUGGUCCAUAUGACAGCAACAAGGAAUCAAGAACUCGUACACUCCACAGACUAUAAAAUUAAGACGUUGAGUUGGUGUAGUGCACGCUCAGUCAGUGACAAUUAAGAUGCCAAUGCAACUGUAAUGUAAUGUAUGGACUAACACCUAUUUAGUCUACCCAGAA